UAUACUAUUAAGAUUUAGCCUCUUGUUACUGUAACCCCUAUGGAAGCACAGCUUUGGGUUUACUGACUAUUGUUUGUUUGUUUGGGUUCAUACUAAAUAGUUUUCAUUUUAAUGUCUCAUUUUAUUAAGAGAACUGUUUCAAGAUGGCUGUAGUUGCUUAAAAUGGCCGCUAGAGGGCGCUGCAUGUGCGUGCUAUGUAGUAAAUCCCGGAGACGUGAGCAUUGCAUGCUGGGAGCAAGACACUCCGGCCUAGCCUUGAUGCUAACGGGACCACGAUGUAGCUACGAGUGAAGUCAGUGACAUUUUAUGGAAGAAACACUGCUUUAUUUUCAUGUUUAUGAGUCUGUACAUGUUGGAAGUUGCUGUGAGAGAGUUCCAGCCGGCUGCGACCGGAGGAUUUGCUUUAUUUUGUUUAUACGAACAAGGACUCCGAUUGUUUUUUUUUUUUUGAAUUGCUGGAUCUGCAUUUUGGUGGGACAGCGUCGAUUCCAACCAGGGUUCCUGUCUGAGGCGAGGCAGAGUAGAGAGGAUCUGAAAUUCUCCAUCUUCAUCAUCUUCCUGAAGAUUCACGCCUGGAGCAGAUAAGAUCUAAGCUGCGCGCAUCAAGCACACAAACAUACACAUUCUACCCGGGUAGCACACAUGCACUGAAUAAACUUGGACGUACAUGGAUACAAACUGAACAGUUUGGACUGGACUUUGACGAACAUUGACAUUAGACAGCAAUAAGCUGUGAAGGGACACUUUACUUUUGUUUUUUAUUUUUAUAUUGGGAAAUUGAAUCUGAAUUGUGAUUCCACUUUUUGUUGAUUGUGAGAAUAAAUAUUGCUGUGUUGACCUUUA